GAUGAACGCUGGCGGCGUGCUUAACACAUGCAAGUCGAACGGUGAACAUGGAGCUUGCUCUGUGGGAUCAGUGGCGAACGGGUGAGUAACACGUGAGCAACCUGCCCCUGACUCUGGGAUAAGCGCUGGAAACGGCGUCUAAUACUGGAUACGAGUAGCGGCCGCAUGGUCAGUUACUGGAAAGAUUUUUUGGUUGGGGAUGGGCUCGCGGCCUAUCAGCUUGUUGGUGAGGUAAUGGCUCACCAAGGCGUCGACGGGUAGCCGGCCUGAGAGGGUGACCGGCCAAACUGGGACUGAGACACGGCCCAGACUCCUACGGGAGGCAGCAGUGGGGAAUAUUGCACAAUGGGCGGAAGCCUGAUGCAGCAACGCCGCGUGAGGGAUGACGGCCUUCGGGUUGUAAACCUCUUUUAGCAGGGAAGAAGCGAAAGUGACGGUACCUGCAGAAAAAGCGCCGGCUAAAUACGUGCCAGCAGCCGCCGUAA
rnacentral:rRNA from 1 species